rnacentral:pre_miRNA from 7 species
CUUACUGAAGAGUUCCUUGGCAUUCUGUCCACCUCCUCUCGCCGAUCUUGCAGAAAGUUUACCAGUUCUGUUGCAUUUUUUUUGGAGGUGGGCAUACUGCCAAUGGAGCUGUGUAGG